GUCUAUAGCCAUACCAUUGUGAACAAGCCUGAUGUCUGAUCUUGGAAGCUAAGCAGGGUCGGGCCUAGUUAAUACUUGGAUGGGAGACCAUCUAGAAAGACCAAGUAUAAUAGGCA
rnacentral:rRNA from 1 species